rnacentral:rRNA from 1 species
CCUACGGGAGGCAGCAGUGGGGAAUAUUGCGCAAUGGGGGAAACCCUGAUGCAGCGACGCCGCGUGAGUGAAGAAGCGCCUCGGCGCGUAAAGCCCUGUCAGCAGGGAGGAAAAUGACGGUACCUGAAGAAGAAGCCCCGGCUAACUACGUGCCAGCAGCCGCGGUAAUACGGAGGGGGCAAGCGUUGUCCGGAUUUACUGGGUGUAAAGGGGGCGCAGGCGGCGAUGCAAGCCAGGAGGGAAAGCCCGGGGCCCAACCCCGGGACUGCUCUUGGAACUGUGUGGCUAGAGUGCAGGAGGGGGAGGAGGAAUUCCUGGUGUAGCGGUGAAAUGCGUAGAUAUAAGGAGGAA